UNUUUAGGAAAGUCCCGUUAGUGUCCCUUG
rnacentral:piRNA from 1 species